UACGGAGGGGGGCUAGCGUUGUUCGGAAUUACUGGGCGUAAAGGGCGCGUAGGCGGGAUGGCAAGUCGGUCGUGAAAUCCCUCGGCUCAACCGAGGAACGUCGAUCGAUACUGCUGUUCUUGAGGAUUGCAGAGGAGACUGGAAUUCCCGGUGUAGCGGUGAAAUGGUGUAGAGAUCGGGAGGAACACCGGUGGCGAAGGCGGGUCUCUGGGCAAUUCCUGACGCUGAGGCGCGAAAGCGUGGGGAGCAAACGGG
rnacentral:rRNA from 1 species